GAGUUUGAUCCUAGCUCCGAGUGAACGCUGACGGUAUGCUUAACACAUGCGAGUCUAACUGUAAAUUUAACUAAACUAACAUGUUUAUAAAUUUACGUGGCAAACGGGUGAGUAAAAUACAAGAAUUUUCCCCUACAGUUAAGAAUAUUCUCUCAUAAAAUGUACAAGUUUACAUAACUUAUUUUCAUUAUGAGAGUUAAUUCUUUAUAAAUAAAGAUUUAUAUCGCUGUUGGAUAAGCUUGUAAAGGAUUAGGUAGUUGGAAGGGUAAAAGCCUAACAAGCCGACGAUCCUUAGCUGUUUUGAGAGACUGAGCAGCCACAUUGGGACUGAGACACGGCCCAAACUUCCAUUGAAGGCAGCAGUGAGGAAUCUUGGACAAUGAGCGAAAGCUUGAUCCAGCAAUACCGUAUAAGAGAGGAAGGUGUAUACUGUAAAUCUUUAAACUUGAAGAAGAUAAUGACAUUAUUCAAGUGAUAAGUACCGGCUAACUCCUGUGCCAGCAGCCGCGGUAAAACAGGGGGUGCAAGCGUUAUUCGUCAGGACUGGGCGUAAAGGGUGCGUAGGUGGUCCAUUAAGUUAACUGUUAAAAAUCUUAUUAACGAAAUAAUAGUUAAUACUGGUGGUAUAACUAUCUCUAUUUUCAAUUUAAUGAGAUAUACUAGAGUUUAGAGAGGGUCAGUGGAAUUUCUAGUGGAAGAGAUAAAAUUCCGAGAUAUUAGAGAGAACACUAGAAGCGAAGGCGUCUGGCUACUUUAAACUGACACUGAGGCACGAAGGCAUAGGAAGUAAAUUGGAUUAGAGACCCAAGUAAUCUAUGCAGUCAACGAUGAGUGUUCAAUGUCUUCAUUUUGAAUGAAGAUGUUUUAGCUAACGCGUUAAACACUCCGCCUGGGUAGUACGUUCGCAAGGAUGAAACUCAAAGGAAUUGACGGAGACUCAUUACAAGCGGUGGAGCAUGUGGUUUAAUUCGAUACAACGCGAAAAACCUUACCAGUCCUUGACAUAACUAAGAAUAAAAGUCGCACAAGAAUCACUAUAACUAGUGAUUAAUUAUUUAGAACUUUCAGUUAUUGAACAAUUUUCAAUAACUGUAUUUAAGAUAAACUUUAUAAACUCUGGUUAUCCAUUUAAUUAGUUUAUCAAACUGGUAUUCUUUUUUACAGGUGUUGCAUGGCCGUCGGCAGCCCGUGUUGUGAAAUGGUUGGUUAACUCCAUGAACGGGCGGAACUCUCGCGUACAUUUAAGGUAAUAUUAUUACACCUCAAUGUACGGAACACUUACGUAAGUAAGAGGAAGUAGGGAAUCACGUCAGGUCAUUAUGGCCCUAAUGGACUGGGCUACACAUGUGCUACAUUGGUAGUAACAGUAAGAUGCUAUUUGGCUAAUCUAAUAAACACUAUCGUAGUCCGGAUUGUUUUCUGCAACUCGAAAACAUGAAGUCGGAAUCGCUAGUAAUCGCAAAUCAGCACGUUGCGGUGAAUGCGUACUUGAGUCUCGUACACACCGCCCGUCACACCAUGGAAGUUAACUUUAUUUCAAGUUCGAUUUUAUAAAUUACUUUGAUAUUAAGUAACUUAUAAAAAACGAAAAUAAAAUAAAGUUAGCAACUGGGGUGAAGUCGUAACACGGUAGUCGUAGAGGAAUCUGCGGCUG
rnacentral:rRNA from 1 species